GGGCAUAACCUGUGCAUGCACUAUCUCAGUACCCUGUACUCUGUAUCCCUGACUAGAGCUUGCUCUAGAUGGGUUGUAUCAUACCUGUUACGCCUGGUUUUUCACAUACUUUGUAAAAACAUAUACAUAUACAGAUCAUGUACACAACAAAAGAUUCACAACACAAACCACUAAGUCAAGCACAUAUCUAACUGAUUAUACAACAAGCACAGCUCUUUAAUAUUACAUGUCCACUCUAAGCUAUUACAAGUCUCUUCUCUUUUUCUGACCUCUUCGAACAUCCCCUGUACACUGUACACUGAACCUGCAAGACUGGGGUUACGGGAGUGGGAUGAGCUCUAUAGCCCAGUGAGUAGAACAAUAAAAUAAGUCAUUAAAAUAUGAUCUGAUGGAAUGCAUCAUAACACAGACAAUCCACAUCAAGGGUAAACCCGUCACCACAUAGUCCCAGUAAACCGUGCCAGGCCGUAGACUGGGGUCCUGGUCUUCCUGUACCAUAUAUGUAUAUAUGUAUAUAACACCUGUACUUACCAUUUGCCAGUAUAGAUCAUUUACCUAUACCCGCCAGGCCGUAGAAUGGGGUCCUGGACUUCCUAUACCUGCCAGGCCGUAGAAUGGGGUCCUGGACUUCCUGUCUGGAAUCACUGGAUCAUUCAGCAUUUACCCACACCAACAAUAAAGCUAUGCAAUGCAACAUCUUUGUGGAUUCUAAUGCAAUCAACCUAUUGCAUAAAUAUGAUGCAUGAAAUAUGCUAAAAGCAGUUAAUGUCUCAAUUAAAACGAGUAUCAGUUUAGUUUCACUCACCUCUGGCUCUGGACUGACUCUGCAGGUUCUGUAAACACUGGAGCAGUACUCACUGCUGCUCUCUUUGGUUCCUCUGGUCUGUGUAAGCACAUAAAGACUCAAAUGAGGGACCAAACUAACUUAAGAAUAACUCUAUGAAACUCCCCAAGAAUCCCCUUAAACUCACUCUAACUUCCAAACAAAGCAUGCAAAAGAAAAGCUGAACAGGACACUCUACCCAACAAAACCUCUGUAAAAAAUAAAAAACAUGUUCAAGAUCUUCACUUACCUCCUGUAAACAAGAAGAUGAACGAUCUGAACAAAGAGAAAUGGCUCAACUCCUCUUCAAAAUCAUAAAACCUCAAAACUAAGCUUUUUGCUUCAAACCUUCAAACCCUUUGAACAAAACAACAAAAACUCUGCAUGAGCUGCUAAAAAGUUUGCAGAUGAGUCAUGGGAGACGUGGCCACUCUUCUGGACAGGGUUUGGAGAUAACACUUGUCCAAAAUGCUAACUAAGGAAUGCACAAGAGCUGGCUGGCCAACUCAGCUUCGGCUGCCGAAUCGCAUGCAAAACCAUGCAAUAUUCGGGGGCCGAAUCUGAGCUUCGGAAGCCGAACAUUGGGCACUUUCGGCGGCCAAACUUACCUUCGGCGGCCGAACUUGGCAAAAGUCCCCAUAGACUUUUCUCUUCAAACACAGAUCAUUUCAACUUGAAAACCUUAAAACAAAACAUAACACUUAAGAAGACAUAAAUCCUACCCUUCUAGAAUUCCAACACCCCAGAUUCCACCAGACGACAGGAAUUCCGGUGUCGG
rnacentral:lncRNA from 1 species